GGCUGAUUGCUCUAAGUCUUGAGGUCAAUUAGAGGUUUACUGUUGAUGACGUCUGCAAAUUGGCAAAUGCUUAUAUGUUCUCGGUUCCAGUCAGAAGAAACCAGCUACAAAGGGAUCAAGAAAAUAUGCUGAAUACUUGGUAACAACAAUGUACACAAUGGGCUGGAUAUUCACGGAGCCGGAGAGACUUCAUGGAGUGGAAAAAAUCAUGGGGCCAGAUCCUGGGAUUCCAAAACCCAUUCCUGGGCUUUCCAAUUUUGAGGAAUGCCUUUUAAGGAUGCGGGCUUGUUCGGUUCUCAUUAUGCAUUCUUGGUUAACAGCCCAGGCAUCCACUGGAGUACUGAAACACCUGAGCCCAGGGCAAACAUUGCUUGAUCGACAGCUCUGGCUCUCAGAUCUUUAUUUACACAAGGUGAAGAGGGUUUAAGUGCUUGCAUUUUCAGUUAUUUAUACUAUAAAGGGUCUGGAUGACUGAUACUUU